rnacentral:rRNA from 1 species
GAUGAACGCUGGCGGCGUGCCUAAUACAUGCAAGUCGAGCGAACAGACGAGGAGCUUGCUCCUCUGACGUUAGCGGCGGACGGGUGAGUAACACGUGGAUAACCUACCUAUAAGACUGGGAUAACUUCGGGAAACCGGAGCUAAUACCGGAUAAUAUAUUGAACCGCAUGGUUCAAUAGUGAAAGACGGUUUUGCUGUCACUUAUAGAUGGAUCCGCGCCGCAUUAGCUAGUUGGUAAGGUAACGGCUUACCAAGGCAACGAUGCGUAGCCGACCUGAGAGGGUGAUCGGCCACACUGGAACUGAGACACGGUCCAGACUCCUACGGGAGGCAGCAGUAGGGAAUCUUCCGCAAUGGGCGAAAGCCUGACGGAGCAACGCCGCGUGAGUGAUGAAGGUCUUCGGAUCGUAAAACUCUGUUAUUAGGGAAGAACAAAUGUGUAAGUAACUAUGCACGUCCUGACGGUACCUAAUCAGAAAGCCACGGCUAACUACG